rnacentral:rRNA from 1 species
AUGUUAGAAUCCCAUAACCAGAUUCUAUCCAGUGUGUCCGGUGGUAUACACUGGUUCUUGGCUCUCUACAUCAGGCUAUCUUUGUCUUGUCCCCUAGGGUUCCCUCCCUCCCUCCCCCGCCGCCACCCGCGAGGCGCAGGGGAAGGCCCCAAAUCUCCGCCGCCGAACUCCCCUCCGCCUCCCCCCUCCUCCCUCCCCGCCGCCAAAGGGCACGGUCGUCGCCGGCGGCGGCGGGGCCUUCUCGUCCCCCACGCGUGGGGGUUGGCACGAACCCGAUCUCGUGGGCGGGGCGCUGCGCUCGGUGUCAGGCGUGGUGGCGCGGCGGCGCCCCGGAGCAGGCUGGCGAUGGUGGCAUGGCGUCGGGCGGCAGAUGGCAUGGUGGUGGUGCGGGCUGGUGUGGCGUCGGCGGCGGUGUUUCUGGCAGCGCAUCGGUGUCGCGUCCGGCGCCGUGGGUUUGCGGCUGACCUGGUCGCGGGCGGCCUCUCACCAUGGUCUUUGGUGGGGGACGGCGCAGCAGCGGAGGUGGUGAGCUGCUCCCUCCCAGUCGGGCCCUCGCGGUUGGGUGGCGACGCUUUGCUCGGGCGGGUCCCCCUGGUGGCGUCUCUGGGCAGCGGCGGCGACAGCUCGGCCACCCUCCCUCUCCGGCCUCUGGCGGCGGCCGGUGCCUCCCGGUGCCCUGGGCCUUCGACGCGGGGGCGGAACUCGGUUUCAGGGGGGGAGCUGGAGCGGACAAGGCGUCGGUCGUGCCCAUGGGCGGGGCGGCGGUCCUGGCGGUGGGAGUUGUGCGUUGGUCGUGGGCGGGCUGCGCGGCUCGGAUGCGGGCAGGCAACCAUGGCUGCUUGGGCGGCAUGGCUGCGGGUGUUGACGGACCGGGGCGGCGAAAGAGGUGAAGCACCGGGGUACAUCACCUACCUAGUCUGUGUACUGGUCGACGGUGACGGCGUCCAUGGACGUCGUGUCCUCCUUGCAGACUCCGUCGUGGUGCUUCUACCCCUUCCAUCUUACUCCGGGUGA